rnacentral:lncRNA from 1 species
UGUUGUGGUGAUUCACUAAGCUAAUAUAUAGAAUCACCCUAGUACAAGGGUAGAAGGGGAUUGAUAUGGGCUGGUUUCCUUUCCUAACAGUGCCUGAUAAUUAUGCAUGUUAAUGAAUUCAUUUACAAUAAGAAAGCGAUAAGAGCUGGGAAAGGUAAACUAAUUCAAAGUAAAGUUAUUUUAAAAUGAGAGAUGUAUUCAAUGGGGGAAAAAAGGGUUCUGGAUUUGGGGAAGGUGGUGCAUUUUAACUGGAGUCAGUGCCUUUGAGAUCCAGCACGGUGUGGGUAGGACAGAGAACUGUCCUGUGUAGUUCUAGGCUUUGAGAGCAAAGGGAUUAUUAUAGUGACCUUUGGAAGCAUCGGAUUUCUCCCCCGGGCUGUCACUGACCUGACCACAUGUCCUCCCGGUCCCACCAUCCCACGUUGUUGGCUCUGUGGCCUCCCACUUAGUUAAAUGACCCUCAGCUCAUCCAGGAUCAGUUCUUUCUAUAUUUCUCUGGCCUUUUUGAUUCUGCUUUUUACCUGAUCCUCGACCCACCUUGGAAUGAUUUUGAACUCAGUUCUUUUCUUAAUUUGACCAACGGUGGUCUCUCCAUCUUUCUCCUUUAAAUCCACCCUGACUUGACAAGUGUGGUUCUUAACUAUCCUUUUCUAUUCUGAUGAAUAUGUUUUUCUUUCUCACCCUUGGAAUGGAAUGGUGCUUGAAGUGAAAAACAGCUGCUGGUGCUGCUGCCAAGUCACUUCAGUUGUGUCCGACUCUGUGCAACCCCACAGACGGCAGCCCACUGGGCUCCCCCGUCCCUGGGAUUCUCCAGGCAAGGUUUCCCUUUAUUUCUUUUCUCAAACUUUGCACUUUGGCUCUAGCCUAAAUGUAAUGCUAUUCAAGGUAUAAAUAGUGAUUGCCUACACUUUUUUUCCCUUUCAUUUACUUAAUAUGCAUUUUUUUAGAACUCAAUAUACAAAAACCAGCUCUCUGCCCCCAAAAGAACUUUCAAUCUAAUUGAGGAGAAAAAGUAGCAAAUAAGGAUAACAGAGUGUAAGGUGUAUUAUGCUGGGAUCCACGCAAAGUCUGAUGCAGGCAUAAAGGAGAGCGUAUUGCUUGGAGAGUAGGAAAAAGCUUCACGGAUAAGAUGAUGUUUGAGUUGACUUGUCUUUAAAAAGUAUUCUGCUUCAUGGUGGAGAGGGGGAAAGGCAUACCAAUAGCAGGAAUGGAAUAUGCCAAAAUAGAAGCAUAAGCCCCAGGGAAGCCCCUUUCACCAUGAAGUGUGUAAAGACUUAGCAGAGAAGAAAAACAAAAAAGAAGUGGUAACUAUGUAAGGUGAUGAAUGUUAAUAAGCUGAUUGUGGUGAUCAUUUCAUAAUAUGUAUGUAUAUUGAAACAUCAAGUUGUGUACCUUAAACAUACAAUUUUUAUUUGUCCAUUAUCCUCAAUAAAACUGAACAAAACCCUUUAGGAGACCCCAUCUCUGGAAGCAUAAAGUCCAAAUUCAGUAGCCUGUAUGACCUUCAAGAUCCUUCAUGGCUUGACUUCACACUCUCCCUAGGUCUCUAGCGGUUCACAGUUCUUGCAAGUUUACCUAUAGGUAUUUUUAGCUUGGGCACAUAUAUCAUAGGAUAAUAUUAAUAUAUAGACCUCUGCAUCUCAUUUGGGCUUCCUCAAUGGCUCAGCAGGUAAAUAAUCCACCUGCAGUGUAGGAGACACAGGAGAUAUAGGUGUGAUCUCUGAGUUGGGAAGAUCCCGUGGAGGAAGGGGAUAGCAGAGACAUUACUUUGUCAACAAAGUUCCAUCUAGUCAAGGCUAUAGU